UUCUCUCUUUCUCUCUUUCUCUCUUUCUUUCUUCCUCUGUCUUUUUAGGGCCGCAGCCACAGCAUAUGAAAUUCCCAGCCUAGGGGUCGAAACGGAGCUGUAGCCUCAGGCCUAUGUCACAGCCACAGCAACACAGGAUUCAAGCCACAUCUGCAACCUACACCUACCAAGCGAGGCCAGGGAUCGAACCUACAUCCUCUUGGGUACUAGUCGGGUUCGUUAUCACUGAGCCACAACGGAACUCCCUAAGUUGACUGUAUUUUCUUUCUCUUUUUACAGCCGUACCUGCGGCAUAUGGAAGUUCCUGGGAUAGGGGUGGAAUCGGAGCUGCAGCUGCAACCUAUGCCACAGCCACAGUCAUGCCAGAUUCUUAACCCACUGAGUGAGGCCAGGGAUCCAACCCACAUCCUCACUACCUGGAUUCUUAACCCGAAGAGCCACAGUGGGAACUCCUUAGACUGACUUAUGACCAACUUAUUCAUCAACUCACUUAUGAUCUUAAAAGAGCUCAGUUGAUACCUAAUGGAAUCUACCUGAUCCAUGAAAUGUAUUAUUUCAUAUAAGUACAAGCAGCAACCAGCAGGCAGAACCUGCCACCAUCACGGGAGGGCCACCUGCUUUAUUCCCCACCCACAUGCUCCUGGAACAGGUACGGGGGGAGGAGUCCAGGAUCCCAGCACUCCCGAUUACAACGGGGUUCUCGGGGACCCUGGGAGCCAUGUGACGGUCUGAAGGCAAACCUUUUGACAUCAAGACGAGAGCGUAAUUUGCCCUCCUCAAAUUCGGGCUCACAGAGGCGAUGCUGAAUGAAGCACCUCCAGGGCCCACGUGACAAGUCCAGUUGUCCUGAAGACCGAAGAAGGAGGGAGGCCCAGGGAACCCCCGCGGCUCUGCCAUCAAGGGGUUUUGUCUUUUCCGAUGUGGAGUGAGGGGCUCUAGGGAUGACUCAGCCCAGCCGCCAUCUGAGUCAACGGCACUGGGACCCCAAGUGAGAGUGGCCUGGCCCAGCCCACCCACCCCCAGGACCAAGAGAGGUGAUAAUAGCUCAUGAUUUUACUACGUCUGGUGGUGUGUGGGGGGGCGCCGUUGUGAAGACAGAGUAGCUGGAAGGAUGCCCAAGCCUCCCCGGCUGUGGGACCCCGGGCAGAGGGCUUCCCUCCUUCUGCUCAUCUGAAAUGAGAGGGUUGAGGACCAGGAACACCCUUCUAAAAAACAAGAGAAAAAAAAAAAACAGGAGUUCCCAUCGUGGCGCAUGGUUAACGAAUCCGACUAGGAACCAUGAGGACGCAGGUACAACCCCUGGCCUUGCUCAGUGGGUUAAGGAUCCAGUAUUGCCAUGAGCUGUGGUGUAGGCCGCAGACGUGGCUUGGAUCCCGCAUUGCUGUGGCUGUGGUGUAGGCCAGCAGCUACAGUUCCAAUUAGACCCCAUAGCCUGGGCACCUCCAUAUGCCGCAGGAGCGGGAGUCAGGAGAACACGGGGUCUGUACUGUGAGCAGGAGAGAGAAUGGCAUCCAGACCAAAGGAGAGGAAAAAAGGGAUAAUUGACAUCCACCAGCGCUGCAGAGAAGCCAGGACGACCGAGGGCAGAAAACCAGCUGUGGGAUUUGGUUAUGAGUUCUCAGCGACUCCUAGAAUGAGAAGGUUCUAUGAAUGGAUGAGGAGGCAGAGGCCCAACUUCUAUGGCCAAGGAAAAGAUGGGAAGGGGAGGGGAGAGAAGAAAACAGGAGCAAGAAAGGUUUGAGAGAAUCUUUAAAGUGAGACCAACAGCACACAUGUGAGUAGAGGGGAGAGACCAAUAUGGCAGAGCUGGAGAAGUGAGAACGGCGAGUAAUUCAGAAUCAUCGAUAUGGGUGAUGGCUGAAGCCCGUCCACGGGCGACGUGGCCCAUGGAGAGACUAGCGAGAAGACAGAGGACCAGGACCCUGAGUUUAAAAGGAACUGGAGCAAGAGCUUCCUCUCCAGUCUCCAUCCUCCGCAUCUAACUCCAAUCCUAAGGCUGGAAUCCAGCCACAUUUGCUUCUAGAGGGGGGCACCCCUAUGAUUAAGGCACAUGGAACGUCUUCCAGUUCUUUGCAACACCGAGGUCCUGUAAGUGGUGAACCAGUAAAUAAAAGGCAGGUCCUUGAGAACCCAGAGGGACAAACAUGGGCUCCUUAACCUGUUCCUUUGAUAGUCUGAAGCUCUGAGCCAUGUCCAAUCAGCCAAUCAGAAACAGAGUCUUUUCUCUUAAUAGAAUACUGGAUAACAUCAACCAGAUGUACCCAACAGAAAUGUGGGUCAUGCAAAAUGCAAGUAAUGAUAACCAAACAAACAGCUAAAAAAAAGUCAGGACUCAACAAAAUGUCUGUACAAAUGAGUUUUUAAGAUACUUUCAUUAAAGUAUAAUUAACAUACAAUAAAAUGUUCGGCUCUUAAUCUGUUGGAUGAGUCUCAACAGCUAUUUAUGUCCAUGUCAUCACAGCCCCAAAGAGAGUCAGUACAUCUGUCACCCAGAAACUUCCCUGCUCUUUCUGGUCCCUUCUCCUCGCUGGCCUCACGAAAUCGCUUGACCACCAGAGACCGGCUUCCUGAUGCACUUCUUUUGCUUUCUAGACCCAUCCAUAGGGUUGUAUCAGGAGUUCAUUCCUUUUAUUGCUCGGUGGUAUUCCACGAUAAUAACAAUUUAUUUGCCCAUUUUUUUCAAACGAUUUCGGCUGUUUCCAGCUUGGGGCCUUACAGAAACUUGCCUAUGCAAGCCCUUUCAUGCAUCUGUGCGUCCUUCUCUCCAAGGUGGAUACUUGGAGUGGAGAAACUGGCUCUCAGUGUAGGUGUUCGAUUUCAUAAAAAGUGCCAAACAGGGAGUUCCCAUCGUGGCGCAGUGGUUAACAAAUCCAACUAGGAACCAUGAGGUUGCGGGUUCAAUCCCUGCCCUUGCUCAGUGGGUUAAGGAUCCGGCGUUGCCGUGAGC
rnacentral:lncRNA from 1 species